UAACGGCCGCGGUACCCUGA
rnacentral:miRNA from 1 species